GGGGGGUGGGAGGGAGAGGAGACCUGCAGUGCCAGGAAAACGGAUUGUUUUCCUGGCACUGGAGUUUCCCUUUAAGCCAGCCUCUAGUGGCGGUCUUCCUGACAGUCACUAGAGGUGCAUCUGCAACGCUGGAGGCAUAUUAUGCCUCUCGCGCAGAACGUCCAUAGGAAAGCAUUGAGAAAUGCUUUCCUAUGAACACUAUGAAUGCGUUUGCGACACUUGCUGCGCAUUCCACUCCGCUGUCAGACGGGGGAGGAGAGGUCACCAGCGCCGAGGGUGCCCGGCACACGAAUAAGGUAAGCUGCUGAAGGGGUUUUAACCCCUUCAGCGCCACGGGACGGGGACCCUGAGGGUGGAGGCAUCCUCAUGGCACUAUAGUGUCAGGAAAACCGCUUUAUUUUCAUGACACUAUAGGGAUCCUUUAACUCAUGGGUCCUCAUACUCCGUCCCCCCAGAUGUUACUGUACUACAACUCCCAUGAUUCUAUGGCUAUCUAUGUAAUUCAAAGAAUCAUGGGAGUUGUAGUUCAGCAACAUCUGGGGGGCCGGAGUUUGAGGACUCAUGCUUUAACUGCCAGUAUAUCUGGCAGAGAAAGCAAAUAUCUUUUAUCGUUCUAGAAUUAAUAAAGAGGCCUAUAGGUACCACAACCACUCUGGCUUGGUUUAGUGAUUAUGAUGCCAGGAGCUGGCCCCCAAUGGACUGUCAUAGUGUUUCUGAAUGGUUUAACUCACUUUGCUGCUUCUGACACCUUGACCUGUCUAAUCUACUAAAGUGGGAAUUCAUUCUUCCACAUUAUCAUACCAGGUUUAUACAGUAUGCAUUGGCUGAGAGGCACCAGCAGACACUUGGAAUAAAUUAAUAUUGUUUAUACUUGGAAUGGUAUUAUAUAAGAAUGAACUUAUGCAUUAUCAGAACGCAGACUAGAAAGCAUUGUGUGGGCUCAACAAGGUAACCAUUAAACUGUUCUGUUAAUAGUUUUUAUAGAUAAUCAGUGGAUGUCACCCAAUACUUUUUGGUGUGGUGUAGUGAUUAUGGAAUUUAG